GCGGCGUGCUUCAUACAUGCAAGUCGAACGAGAAGCAGGAGCUCGCUCCUGUGGAAAGUGGCGGACCGGUGAGUAACACGUAGGAAAUCUGCCUUUGGGUGGGGGACAACAGUUGGAAACGACUGCUAAUACCCCAUAUGGGCUUAGUUGCAAUACCAAUCUUGAAAACUCCGGUGCCUAAAGAUGAGCCUGCGUCUGAUUAGCUUGUUGGCGGGGUAAUGGCCCACCAAGGCGACGAUCAGUAGCUGGUUUGAGAGGAUGAUCAGCCACAAUGGGACUGAGACACGGCCCAUACUCCUACGGGAGGCAGCAGUAGGGAAUUUUGCGCAAUGGGGGAAACCCUGACGCAGCAACGCCGCGUGAAUGACGAAGCCCUUCGGGGUGUAAAGUUCUGUCAGUAGGGAAGAAUUUUGACUGUACCUACAAAGGAAGCACCGGCUAACUCCGUGCCAGCCGCCGCGGUAA
rnacentral:rRNA from 1 species